UACAGAGGGUGCAAACGUUGUUCGGAAUUACUGGGCGUAAAGCGCGUGCAGGCGGCCUUGCAAGUCGGACGUGAAAUCCCACGGCUCAACCGUGGAAGUGCAUUCGAAACUGCGAGGCUGGAGUCCUGGAGAGGAAAGUGGAAUACUCGGUGUAGAGGUGAAAUUCGUAGAUAUCGAGUGGGACACCGGUGGCGAAGGCGGCUUUCUGGACAGGUACUGACGCUGAGACGCGAAAGCGUGGGGAGCGAACAGG
rnacentral:rRNA from 1 species